UGGGUUGUGGCUCAGUGGUAGAGCGCUUGUCUUACAUGUGUGAGGCACUGGGUUUGAUUCUCAGCACCACAU
rfam:Ictidomys tridecemlineatus contig044466, whole genome shotgun sequence.